GUUUAUUAUCCCUGCGUCAUUGGUCAUCGGGCUCACCUGGUGAAAACGGUCCUUUAGCUUUAAACAUGGAGGCCAUGGUUUGCUAAUCGCCAGACAAACCAAAAGAAGAAGAGGGAAAACAUGGCGUCGCUCCACCUGUUGGUGGGAGAGCAGAGCUGUUAGCAUGGCUGUUCGAUAGCCCAGAUAUAGUGACUUGAAGCCAUUAUUCUCUAGUAAAUAUCUCUACCACUUCCUAUUCCACGACGAAGUUUUUCUGAAAGCAAAUGCUGUGCUUACCUGAACCUGUCAACCACUUAGCAUGAGCUGUUGUAGUUAGAGGCCGUUAAUUAGCUAGCUUAAUUAGCUAGUUGUUUAACAUCUCUCCUCUACCAACAGUAUUUCUGAGAAGCCACGGGGUCAGGGCGAGUUGAAUCUCAUGUCAGAAUUGUCCCCACAUUGACCUGCGCCUGACUGGCCUCCCAGCAAAAAGCCCCUGUGAAGCAGAAGGCAGAGAGAGGGCUGCGCUGAUCCGAAGGUGAAAAACAUCCUCCUCCUCUCCCCCGGCUGAACAUCUGUCUCUGUGGUGUUGGCUGCAGUACAGACUCUGACACCUCCAGAUGGAGAGCCCACUGGGAGCACUGAGGUAUUACCUACAAAGAUGGCAGGGAUCACACCUCUGGAAUGAAGUCCCACACUUGUUUUCUGCACCGUCCCCUUUUUUUGUUGUUGAAUCUGUCACUAUUCGCCAUAUCGAUUGUCGCCUCCCCAGUCCUUGGCCUUGUGACUCAUCUGAAGGGGAAAGCUUUGGGCUUAUAAAGAAAUGCAUGACAACAAACCUCUUAGCCCUUUUCUAAUUUACAGUAAUGGGCCGUAUGGUAUUUCCACUGUAACUUCUAUUCGUGGAAGUGUAUUAAUUUUUAAUAUAGUUGUGAGAGAACUGCAUACUCAGGCAGAUAUAUUUCAAAUGAUUGCUGAUUUCCAUUUCCUUGAAACAUGUUUUCCAGAGGCCUAAAACUAUUUAAAGUUCGCACAAACUACAACACUGGCUAAAUGGCUUAUAACCGUAUGAAGCCUAAAUAUUAAAAGCAAUACCUGCAAAAAAAAGAAAAAAGUCUA